rnacentral:rRNA from 1 species
CUGGCGGCAGGCUUAACACAUGCAAGUCGAACGAUGAAGUCUAGCUUGCUAGACGGAUUAGUGGCGAACGGGUGAGUAAUGCUUAGGAAUCUGCCUAUUAGUGGGGGAUAACGUAGGGAAACUUACGCUAAUACCGCAUACGUCUUACGAGAGAAAGGGGGCUUUUAGCUCUCGCUAAUAGAUGAGCCUAAGUCGGAUUAGCUAGUUGGUGGGGUAAAGGCCUACCAAGGCGACGAUCUGUAGCUGGUCUGAGAGGAUGAUCAGCCACACUGGGACUGAGACACGGCCCAGACUCCUACGGGAGGCAGCAGUGGGGAAUAUUGGACAAUGGGCGAAAGCCUGAUCCAGCCAUGCCGCGUGUGUGAAGAAGGCCUUUUGGUUGUAAAGCACUUUAAGUGGGGAGGAAAAGCUUGUGGUUAAUACCCACAAGCCCUGACGUUACCCACAGAAUAAGCACCGGCUAACUCUGUGCCAGCAGCCGCGGUAAUACAGAGGGUGCAAGCGUUAAUCGGAAUUACUGGGCGUAAAGCGAGCGUAGGUGGUCAUUUAAGUCAGAUGUGAAAGCCCCGGGCUUAMCCUGGGAACUGCAUCUGAUACUGGAUGA